rnacentral:rRNA from 1 species
UACGGGGGGAGCAAGCGUUGUUCGGAUUUACUGGGCGUAAAGGGCGCGUAGGCGGCCAGCACAAGUCAGUUGUGAAAUCUCCGAGCUUAACUCGGAAAGGUCAACUGAUACUGUGCGGCUAGAGUGCGGAAGGGGCAACUGGGAAUUCUUGGUGUAGCGGUGAAAUGCGUAGAUAUCAAGAGGAACACCUGCGGCGAAGGCGGGUUGCUGGGCCGACACUGACGCUGAUGCGCGAAAGCUAGGGGAGCGAACGGG